rnacentral:rRNA from 2 species
AGUAACGCGUGGGAACGUGCCCUUAGGUGCGGAACAACGUCUGGAAACGGACGCUAAUACCGCAUAAUAUCUACGGAUCAAAGAUUUAUCGCCUAGGGAUCGGCCCGCGUUGGAUUAGCUAGUUGGUGAGGUAAUGGCUCACCAAGGCUACGAUCCAUAGCUGGUCUGAGAGGAUGAUCAGCCACACUGGGACUGAGACACGGCCCAGACUCCUACGGGAGGCAGCAGUAAGGAAUAUUGGACAAUGGAGGCAACUCUGAUCCAGCCAUGCCGCGUGUGUGAUGAAGGCCUUCGGGUUGUAAAGCACUUUUAGAUGUGACGAUGAUGACGGUAACAUCAGAAAAAGCUCCGGCUAACUUCGUGCCAGCAGCCGCGGUAAUACGAAGGGAGCGAGCGUUGUUCGGAAUCACUGGGCGUAAAGCGUGCGUAGGCGGUUUUGUAAGUAAGAAGUGAAAGCCUGGGGCUUAACCCCAGAAUUGCUUUUUAGACUGCAAAGCUAGAGUAUUGGAGAGGUUAGUGGAAUUCCGAGUGUAGAGGUGAAAUUUCGCAGAUAUUCGGAGGAACACCAGUGGCGAAGGCGACUAACUGGACAAUUACUGACGCUGAGGCACGAAAGCGUGGGGAUCAAACAGGAUUAGAUACCCUGGUAGUCCACGCCGUAAACGAUGUAUGCUAGCUGUCGGGAGUCUUAGGCUUUCGGCGGCGAAGUUAACGCAUUAAGCAUACCGCCUGGGGAGUACGGCCGCAAGGUUAAAACUCAAAGGAAUUGACGGGGACCCGCACAAGCGGUGGAGCAUGUUGUUUAAUUCGACGCAACGCGAAGAACCUUACCUACGCUUGACAUACCAAGUAUGAAUACCAGAGAUGGAAUUCUUCAGUUCGGCUGGCUUGGAUACAGGUGCUGCAUGGCUGUCGUCAGCUCGUGUCGUGAGAUGUUGGGUUAAGUCCCGCAACGAGCGCAACCCUUGUUGUUAGUUGCCAUCAUUCAGUUGGGCACUCUAAUGAGACUGCCGGUGAUAAGCCGGAGGAAGGUGGGGACGACGUCAAGUCAUCAUGGCCCUUACGCGUAGGGCUACAAACGUGCUACAAUGGCGGUGACAGUGGGCACCGAGGCAGCGAUGCCAAGGAAAUCCCAAAAAGCCGUCUCAGUUCGGAUUGUACUCUGCAACUCGAGUGCAUGAAGUUGGAAUCGCUAGUAAUCGUGGAUCAGCAUGCCACGGUGAAUACGUUCCCGGGUCUUGUACACACCGCCCGUCACGUCAUGGGAGUUGGUUCUACCUGAAGGCGCUGCGCUAACCGCAAGGAGGCAGGCGAGCCACGGUAGGGUCAGCGAC